GUUUAGUGGACUAAACAGAAAAUCCCUCAUUGCUAAAAAUCAAAAUGACCUAUUCGUUUUUACAUUUGUAGAACUGAUCUGAGCUGCUUCAGAAGAGAUUUGUCUGAAACACCAAGUGAAUUCGCAAGAAAGUGGUGAACGAAAAGGGUUGUCACACAGAUUCUGUGCUUGAUCUUGAUUGGAACAAGAAAUUCAAUUGCUUGAUGCCAUCAAACACAAUGGAUCAAAAGAGACGCCUAAGAAUAUUGAUGGUAUCUGAUUUUUUUUACCCUAACUUCGGUGGUGUGGAGAAUCACAUUUAUCUGCUCUCCCAAUGUCUUCUUAAGCUUGGUCACAAGGUAGUUGUUAUGACUCAUGCUUAUGGAAAUCGUUCUGGGGUGCGGUAUAUGACGGGUGGUCUGAAAGUCUACUAUAUACCAUGGAAACCAUUUCUCAUGCAGAAUACAUUGCCAACCUUCUACGGGACACUUCCAAUUGUACGGACAAUCCUUGUUCGGGAGAAAAUUUCCUUGGUGCAUGGACAUCAAGCCUUCUCAACUCUUUGUCAUGAAGCUUUGAUGCAUGCACGGACCAUGGGAUACAAAGUCGUAUUUACUGAUCAUUCACUCUAUGGGUUUUCUGAUGUAGGAAGCAUUCACAUGAAUAAGGUACUGCAAUUUACUUUGGCAGAUGUGAAUCAGGCAAUAUGUGUUUCUCAUACAAGCAAGGAAAAUACGGUCCUGAGGUCCGGAUUACCCCCAGAAAAGGUCUUCAUGAUACCAAAUGCUGUUGACACGGCUAUGUUCACACCUGCACCAGAGAAAUUGAGUCGUGAUGAAAUUAUUAUCGUUGUGAUAAGCAGACUGGUUUACCGGAAGGGGGCUGAUUUGCUUGUAGAAGUCAUUCCUGAAGUCUGCCGUUUGUACCCAAAUGUCCGAUUCAUUGUUGGAGGGGAUGGCCCUAAACGAGUGCGUCUGGAAGAAAUGAGGGAAAAACAUUCUCUUCAAGAUCGUGUCGAAAUGUUAGGGGCAGUUCCACAUGCUCAAGUACGGUCUGUCUUAAUUACUGGACAUAUCUUCUUGAAUAGUUCUCUGACAGAAGCGUUCUGUAUAGCAAUAUUGGAAGCUGCUAGUUGUGGGUUGUUAACCGUCAGUACACGAGUAGGAGGUGUCCCAGAGGUACUUCCUGAUGACAUGAUUGUUCUGGCAGAACCGGUACCAAGCGACAUGGUGCAAGCAGUAAAGAAGGCAAUAGACAUACUUCCGAAUAUUGACCCCCAAGCUAUGCACCUUCGUGUGAUUGAAACAAUUAUAUAGUUGGCAUGAUGUGGCCAGAAGGACUGAAGUUGUAUAUGAUCGUGCAUUGACAUGUUCUGAAGAGAAUCUUCUGCCACGCCUCUCACGGUACCUUACUUGUGGUGCUUGGGCUGGCAAACUUUUCUGCUUGGUUAUGAUCAUAGAUUUCUUGUUAUGGCAUCUCUUACAACUAUGGCAGCCCUCUGAAGAUAUAGAUGAGGUGCCUGAUUUUGUGCUUCCUCAUCAAGAACAAGAAGCUUCUCGAUCUCACCAAGAUUAAAGCCUAAGCUAGCAGGCUCCUGAUUGAAUGAAGAAUGGUUCACACUACAGAGUGUGAUGAUUUGCAUGUGAAGCACCUAAUCAGUGGGUCAAUUGGUCGAAAUAGCUGAACAAUGGCAUCAGAAGAUCCUUCACAUAAUCCUACUUAAAGCUGACUACACCCAAUUCAGCUUUGGAAGACCACACCGCGUUGAACCGCCGAACAGGAAAAAGAUCACAAGAAAGUAAACAGUACACUACCCUAAAUGAAGAACUUCAGUGCAUGUACUGUUGUUUUAUAUAUAUUAUUAAUAUCACAGAUCCAUUUUGCGAGUAUGGUCAAGUUUCAAAGUAAAUAUGGUCAAAUUUCAAAGUAAUAACAAAAAACACCACCUUUUUUC